CCGUAGCUCAGCUGGAUAGAGCAACGGCCUUCUAAGCCGUGGGUCGCAGGUUCGAAUCCUGCCGGA
rnacentral:tRNA from 2 species